CCUACGGGCGGCAGCAGUGAGGAAUAUUGGUCAAUGGACGCAAGUCUGAACCAGCCAUGCCGCGUGCAGGAAGACGGCUCUAUGAGUUGUAAACUGCUUUUGUACGAGGGUAAACCUGAAUACGUGUAUUCGGCUGAAAGUACUGUACGAAUAAGGAUCGGCUAACUCCGUGCCAGCAGCCGCGGUAAUACGGAGGAUGCAAGCGUUAUCCGGAUUUAUUGGGUUUAAAGGGUGCGUAGGCGGAUUGAUAAGUUAGAGGUGAAAUGUCCGGGCUUAACUCGGGAAUUGCCUCUAAUACUGUUGAUCUAGAGAGUAGAUGCGGUAGGCGGAAUGUAUGGUGUAGCGGUGAAAUGCUUAGAGAUCAUACAGAACACCGAUUGCGAAGGCAGCUUACCAAUCUAUAUCUGACGUUGAGGCACGAAAGCGUGGGGAGCAAACAGGAUUAGAUACCCGGGUAGUC
rnacentral:rRNA from 1 species